CCUACGGGCGGCAGCAGUGGGGAAUAUUGCACAAUGGGGGAAACCCUGAUGCAGCAACGCCGCGUGAGUGAAGAAGUAUUUCGGUAUGUAAAGCUCUAUCAGCAGGGAAGAGAAUGACGGUACCUAACUAAGAAUCCCCGGCUAACUACGGGCCAGCAGCCGCGGUAAUACGUAGGAGGCCAGCGUUAUCCGGAUUUACUGGGUGUAAAGGGAGCGUAGGCGGGUGUACAAGUCUGAAGUGAAAGCCUUAGGCUCAACCGGGGAACUGCAUUGGAAACUGUAAAGCUUGAGUACUGUAGAGGCAGGCGGAAUUCGUAGUGUAGCGGUGAAAUGCGUAGAUAUUAGGAGGAACACCAGUGGCGAAGGCGGCCUGCUGGACAGUAACUGACGUUGAGGCUCGAAAGCGUGGGGAGCAAACAGGAUUAGAUACCCCGGUAGUC
rnacentral:rRNA from 1 species